rfam:Felis catus isolate Cinnamon breed Abyssinian chromosome B3, whole genome shotgun sequence.
GCCUGGCUGGCUCAGUCGGUAGAGCAUGCGACUAUUAAUCUCAGAGUUGUAGGUUCAAGCCCCACGUUGGGUG